rnacentral:rRNA from 1 species
CCUACGGGUGGCAGCAGUGGGGAAUAUUGCACAAUGGGCGAGAGCCUGAACCAGCCAAGUCGCGUGAAGGAUGACUGUCUUAUGGAUUGUAAACUUCUUUUAUACGGGAAUAACAAGAGCCACGUGUGGCUCCCUGCAUGUACCGUAUGAAUAAGCAUCGGCUAACUCCGUGCCAGCAGCCGCGGUAAUACGGAGGAUGCGAGCGUUAUCCGGAUUUAUUGGGUUUAAAGGGUGCGUAGGCGGCCUGUUAAGUCAGCGGUGAAAUCUAGGAGCUUAACUCCUAAAUUGCCAUUGAUACUGGCGGGCUUGAGUGUAGAUGAGGUAGGCGGAAUGCGUGGUGUAGCGGUGGAAUGCAUAGAUAUCACGCAGAACUCCGAUUGCGAAGGCAGCUUACUAAGGUACAACUGACGCUGAAGCACGAAAGCGUGGGUAUCAAACAGGAUUAGAUACCCGGGUAGUC